GAUGAAGAACGUAGCGAAAUGCGAUAAGUAAUGUGAAUUGCAGAAUUCAGUGAAUCAUCGAGUCUUUGAACGCACAUUGCGCCCCCUGGUAUUCCGGGGGGCAUGCCUGUCCGAGCGUCAUUGCUGCCCUCAAGCACGGCUUGUGUGUUGGGCCCCCGCCCCCCGGCUUCGGGGGGCGGGCCCGAAAGGCAGCGGCGGCACCGCGUCCGGUCCUCGAGCGUAUGGGGCUUCGUCACCCGCUCUGUAGGCCCGGCCGGCACCCGCCGGCGACCCCAAUCAAUCUUUCCAGGUUGACCUCGGAUCAGGUAGGGAUACCCGCUGAACUUAAGCAUAUCAAUAAGCGGAGGA
rnacentral:misc_RNA from 1 species